GCCGCCACCACUGCUCCAUGCCUCGUGCCGAUCCAAUUCGCCUCAUAUUCUUCGUGUGCGGUGGCUGGCGCAGCUCCGUCUUCUCCCCGCCCUCCAUCCUCAUGUGUUCAGCAGCAACCCUAGGAGGAGCUCGAGCCACAUCGGUGAAUGUUCUCUGCUAGGUUUGGUGCUACUACUCCGUCUUCGAUCCCAACCAUCUCGCACGUUCCCGAGAUCGUCGUCUUCCUGGCCGGGACCCCUGGUUUGUAAUUCAUGGCAUUUGGCGCAUCUGCGCUUAAAUUCUUGCUGGAAUGGUAAACAACGAUUCCAUUUGGUACAUAACUGAACUUGAACACCCAUCAUGCAUCUGAUUUCUCUACACUUCAAUCAUUCAUGAUUGCUGGGAAGAUGAGUUUCAUAAUCUGCACAAGAAAUAUGAAAGAAAAGAAAGUCGGACUAGAUGUCUCCACCCACGCCUCGACUAUCGGGUUAUUCUCUGUUCUUUCUUUCCUUGUCCUCUUCUCUCUUCUAUAAAUUCAUCAAAUUUGAUUAUUCUAUUUAAGAACUAGAUAAAAUAGAAAUAUUCAUGUAUAGGACAAUCAUAUGUCCUGUUUGUCUUCAUAGUGCAGGUGAUGUAAUGCACCAUUUCACAAGUAAGAAUGGGACAAAAGCUACUACGCGCGCUCAAUAAAUUUCAUAGUUUUGGAUAGAAAAGGGGGAGCUGCAUAAGAAUUAAUUAUAGGACAGUUGUAUGUGUGGAUACAGACACAGAAGUAAGGAAUGGUAUAUGAAUGAUAUCAUAUAAAUAAAUUGGUGGGCAGAAGUUGGUCUGAUUUUAUGGGAUUAAUUAAUCCUGUAUGUGCUUGCCAAUUUUGGUUAGUAAGUACCAGGUAGCAGCUAUCUUUUCAUAAUCCUUCUACCACUUCUUGAUGCACAUAUCUUUUGCUUUCAGGUUACCAUCAACAAAAUGAAGAAAACCAACAAUUUAUUUUUGUAGUAAACGGCAAUACGAUGUGAAGGUAUUCAAGAGAAUCUGGUCUUAUUUUUCUGAUCCCUAUGGUCCCUGUGAAGCAUCAACUAUAUCAGCAUUUUGAAGCUUAGAAUGGCUAAUGCUGAUUGUUUAGAGCUUAGUUAUAAUGAUUUCUUGUGCAUCAGGUUAUAUUGUACAAGUGAUUGCAACUGAUUUAUUUUCAGAGUUAUUAUUAUUUACACGUAUAAGUUUAGGGCUGACCUUUUAUUUGUCUAUGGCAACUACAUAUCUACAUUGUUCCAUGUA